rnacentral:lncRNA from 1 species
UAGUCCUGGGUAUGAGAAAGCUGGUGAGGAGAUAGGAACGGGUCUAGAUGUGAAUGGGGGACGGUCGGCCCGAAGGGCGCGGGCCCCCCUACGCCUGCGCCACCCCACGCCCCCCGUGCCCCCUCACCGGCUGGGAAGCGUCGCCGCCGCCGCUGCCGCCGCCACCUCCACCGCCACAGCCCCGCCUCGCGCACUCUCGGCGCGCGCCGCGGGAGGGAUCCACGCUGUACUCCGAUUGGCUGCCUGCUGGCCAACCAUCUCUGAGGACGGCGGAUAUUGGUGAGCAUGAAGCGGACGGGCAGCCCUUGCAGCCAAUAACUGGGGGAUAGAGGCGGGGCUGUUGGGAGAGGCUGCGGGUCCCGGGGGUGCCCUGCUGGGUGUGAGGAGCUGGGAGGCGAGGGCCUGUAGGCAGGCGAAGAUUGGAGCCCUCGGAGAAGAUGGGCAGCCCCAAGGACCAAUCGCUUGGGAGAAAGGGCGGGGCUCCAAAGAAGCUGGCGCGACUGGCAGCGAGGAACGGAGGGCGUAGCCCGGAGGGCGACGGAGAUUGGCUGCGAAGCCAAAGACAGGCAGGGCCGGCGGCCAGUCGCGAGGGCCGUGGGCGGUGCGCCCUGGACCAGACUUUGGAGCAAAGGAGGUGUAGAGUUUGGCCCUGAGCACUGUGGCCCGAGGUGGCCUUGGGAGUCUGGCGUAGGGUCCCCUCAGGCUGUGGCAAAGUCAGGCUCUCUGGCCACCCAGUGCAGAAGCAGGACCUCCAACUUGAGCGGCGAACUUGGCCACUAAUAGGAAAUACCCACUAUUCCCCUGCAAAGGAUACGGAGGGGGCAGAGAGUCUCGCUGGAAGUCACUCAGCUGUCCUCCACAGCUCCGGGUAAUGGCAAAAUGUGGAAAUAGGUGGAAUCUUACGUGCUUUGUGAUCUUCUGGAAAUGUUUGACUUCUCCGAGUACAAACUUGCUCCUCACAGGACUGAAUGACAUCCCUGUCAGGCCACUUCCCUGCUAAAUCUUUGGUGAAUUAACUGAAUCCUAACCAGAAUCCCAUGAGGUCAAAGCGACUACUGGCUCCAUUUUACAGAAACCAGAACACAGAGAGGUCAAAUCCUUGCCCAUGCUCACACAGCACUUCAGCAGGCCCAAAGUUGCCUGGUUUUUGGAAGUAGGGUAAGGCCGUGCCAAAGGACAGCCAUGGGGGACCUGAGUGACACAGGUUUGAAUACUUGUCCAGCCACUAGCUGACAUUACAACAGAUAUGGUGUACGAGUCCCUGAGACCUUAUGUUCUGAAGUAAAAGACUUUCUUUAGCCUCCCAAACUCAGUCUCAAAAAACUGACUCAGGAGUUAAUGAUUAGGAAAUAUUGUUACGGCUAAAAAACUAGUUAAAACAGGAGUUGCUGUUGUGGCUCAGUGGUUAAUGAACCUGAGUAGUAUCCAUGAGGAUGGAGCUUCAAUCCCUGGCCUUUCUCAGUGGGUUAAGGAUCCAGCAUUGCUGUGGCUGUGGUGUAGGCCAGUAGCUACAGCUGCGAUUUGACCCUAGGCUGAGAACCUCCAUAUGCUGCAGUGCGGCCAUAAAAGACAAAAAGACCAAAAAAAAAAAAAAAAA